CCCUCCUGGGUGUUCUUCACUGCAGUCAGCUCCUUGGAACGUUUGGUAAGGCCCUCAGUCUCACAUUUUGGAGGCCCCAGCGAGAUCCCCGGGUAGGAACCCCGAUUCGGCCGAGACUCCGUGGCAGAAUCCAGCAGGAGGCUCUUGGGCACAGACCUCAGAAAACCUCUGGAGGUUUGACUCCAAGACCCUGGAACCCCAGUAGAAGGGACCGGUUCCUGUUGUUCUGGCAACUCCCUUGGUGAUAAAGGUAGCUGGACAUCCUGCCUGGAUACAUCGCAACCAUCUAAAAACAGCACCCCCUGUGGACAUCUCAAAGGACGAAUGGAAGGUCAUCAGUCAACCAGGCGACCAAAAGUUAAGACUGGGAUGGGUAGGAAGUACAUCCCUUUCUUGCUGAUGUUCUCUGGAACAUCGGCAGUAUUACCCCCAAAACAAUUGGACCAUACUGGAAAUGUUUGGAUUCAACUGGCACAAUCACUUAAGUUGUCUGAGUUCUGUUUAAAUGUAGAUGUGAAUUUCCAUCAUAUAUUAGGAAGCUGUCUCAUCCCAGGGUGUACCCCUUUAAGUCUGAUACAGCCUUAUACCCUGUUUAAAGAUAUCCCAGGAAAAAAUCUUACCUAUGAAGAUAGCUACAACUGGGGACAUCCCUCUAUCCUAAACCAAAAAAUGUUAUUAAGAUAUAUAUGUCCCGGAUGAUUAUGUUAAAUAAUACCCAAUGUGCUGUAUAUGAAAAUUGUACUACAAAGUGCCUAAAGUUACAACAAUCUGCAGGGAUGCCCUGUCAUGAGAAACAAAAAAUUAUAUAUAAUAACAGUCAUAUCCCUUUACCAUCGGGAUGGUUUUAUACCUGCGAGGGAAUAACUUUUAAUUAUAUUCCUGCCAACUUGACUCAAACUCGUUGCUGCCUAAGUUGCCUGGCUGUGAUAUUGCCAGAUAGAACUGAUUUGAUUGUACCCAAAAGAACGAAGCACUGGUCACCUUAUACUGCGCCAGGAUGUGAUGAUGAUGUAGGUCUCUUGACAGAUGCUGAAGUGAUAUCUAUGAUAGCAUCUGUGGUUGCUCUGCCUUCCAUAGGAGUUCAUGCUGAAAAGGCGGUACAAAAGUUAGCAUGCAAGGUGGUCAAAGGUCUAAAUGCCACCUCAUCGGCCUUGGAAUUAAUUAACCAGGAGUUACAAGAACAAUGACAGGCUAUACUAGACAAUAGGGCAGCAAUAGAUUAUUUGCUUUUAUUUCAUCAUCAAGGGUGUGAAAAAAUAAAAAAUAUGUGUUGUUUAAUCUGACUGACAACAGCCCAGAAAUUAGGGAAAAGAUAAAACAAUUGGAAAAAUUAGCAGAAAAAAUACAUAAUGAAAAAUUAAGAUGGGACCUGUUUCAAUGGUUACAUAACUUGCAGUGGCCAAAACAACUUUUUCUUGUAAUAAUGGUAAUACUCAUAUGUUUGCUGUUAUCCUGUUGUUGCAUACAAUGUUUGCCUAGGGCCGUGCGUAAGAUUACUUAAAAUCCACAAAAAUCAGUGGGGAAUGUGGGACUAUAUGAGAUUGAACGAAGGUUACUCCAUGUUGCCUCACUCGAUACUCCCCCUCUCCUUCUGAGUAAACCAUGUGAUGUCAUUUCUGGGAAGAAAAACAAAGGUUCGUGGAAUUCACAGUGUUCUUUGAAAUUAUGCAACUCCCCAUAAACAGGAAAUGUACUGGAACAUGCUAUCUACUAUCUAAAUGUACUGGAACAUGUUAUCUACUAUCUAAAUGUACUGGAACAUGCUAUCUAAAUCCCCUAACCGUCAGGAUCUCGCUUUUGUAAUCUCUGCUUGCUAACGUCCCCUUGCAACCCCUAUAAAAGAGCCUCGUACUCUGA